rnacentral:rRNA from 1 species
CAGCCGCCGCGGGAAUACGAGGGGGGCAAGCGUUGUUCGGAAUUAUUGGGCGUAAAGGGUGCGUAGGCGGUUUGAUAAGUCUUGUGUGAAAUCUAUGGGCUCAACCCAUAGUCUGCACAGGAAACUGUCGGGCUUGAGAGUGGGAGAGGUGAGUGGAAUUUCCGGUGUAGUGGUGAAAUGCGUAGAUAUCGGAAGGAACACCUGUGGCGAAAGCGGCUCACUGGACCAUUACUGACGCUGAUGCACGAAAGCUAGGGGAGCAAAUGGGAUUAGAUACCCCGGUAGUCCCUGUCUCUUAUAC